rnacentral:lncRNA from 1 species
AAAGAUGACCACUUUCACCACUGCAAUUCAGCAUUGUACUGAAAAUUCUAGCCAAAACAAUUGGGCAAGAAAAAUUAAUAAAAGCUAUCCAAAUUUGAAAUAAAAAAGUAAAGUUAUCUCUAUUUGAAGAUGACAUGAUAGAGUAACAUACAUAAAAUCUCAAAGUCUACACACACACACACACACACACACACACACACACACAAUUAGAGCUAACAAAAAAAUCUAGCAAAGUGGAUCAACAGAAAAGUCAGUUCUGUUUCUAAAAACCAACAAUGAACAGUCCAAGAAAAAUAUAUGUUUUAAAAAUUCUACUUUUAAUAUCAUCCAAAAAUAAAAUAAAUUUAACUAAGGAAGUGAAAGAUUUGCACACCAGAAACUCUAAAGUAUUACUGAAAGAAAUUAAAGAAGUUCUAAGUAAAUGAAAAGACAUUCCAUGUUUAUGGAUUGAAAGACUUAAUAUUGUUAAGAUGGCAAUACCACCAAAAGCUAUUUGCAGAUUCAGUGCAAUCUCUACUGCUAUUCUAACAAUGUUUUUUGUAAAAUGGAAAAGUUGAUUCUCAAAUUUAUUUGUGAAACAUCCCAAAUAAUCAAAACAAUCUUGAACAAUAAGAACAAAGUUGGAAGACGCAUGCUUUCUGAUUUCAAAAAUACUAAAAACAUACAGCAAUCAAAACAGUGUGUAACUGGCAUAAGAGUAGAUAUAUUGACUAAUGGAAUAGAGAUGAGACUCCAGAUAUAAACCCAUAUAUCUAUGGCCAAUUGAUUUUUGACAAUUAUUUCUAGAUCAUUCAAUGGAGAAAGAAUAGACUUUUUAACAAAUGAUGCUAUGACAACUGCAAGAGAAUGAAAUUGGACUCAUCUCACAUCAUAUACAGAAAUUAAGUGUCUUAGUUGCCACUUUCUACUGGAUCUUCGC